UUUUGAGUGGUACCAGUGGAACUGUCCAAAGUUUUCUUCGCCACAUUUAGGACAGCCGGCAUUAUUCUCCGGUCGUAGUUGGCCACAAAUAGACGAAUACGGCAUGCGGAACAGGAUAUUGGGCGUUCACUCACCCCGAAUCUGAAGAGACAACAGGUAACUGUUCUUCCCAAGCAAAGGACUGCAUCCUGCCUGACCCUCAUCCAACCCAAAGUGAAUGGAGUGAAAGAGAAACCAGGCUGCUUCUUGAUAAAUAUUCAAGCCCAUUUGAGCCGAGUGGGGCCCAUGAAAACCUUUAAGAACAAAAAAGCCAUGUGGGCAGCCAUCUCGGCGUAUAUGGCUCAUGACCUCGGCUCCCAGAAAACGGCAGAUCAGUGUCAAAACCGUUUUAAAACUAUAAAGAAACGCCAAAUGAAACGGAGAGAACACAAUGCCUCAUCAGGUGCAGAUCCUGUUUCUAUUCCUCAUGAUGAGGAAUUUCAGAAGAUCAAGUCUAUCGAUGACAGUGUGAAACCGGAACUUCUUAGAGGACUUUGGUCGAGUCGAGUUGAAAUCCUCGGCCAUUUCAAGCAGUUCGGAUGGCACUAAACCAGACAAUGCCAAGGAUACACCGCCCACGAAGAAGCAGAAGCUGAACAUUGUAUGUGAAAUUAUGGGGAAGAUACACAUGCACAAAGAAGGGCAGCGGGAACGUCGCCACAAACAGAAGUUGGAUGUUUUGCACAGUCUUCUGGCUCCUGAAAAAGAUCUUGAUGUCUAACGAUACACAUGUAAAUGUUACGACUAUGAGCCAAGACGUGCUUCUAUAUGGACAGAGACUUCCAUUACGCUUUUUGUAUUUGUAAAUAUUAAAUUUAAUGAAGUUCUUUUGC